rnacentral:lncRNA from 1 species
GCAAGGACGGACCGCGGCUUACCGGAGACGGAGGUAAAUAUGGAGACAGCAGCCGUCCGAUGGCUUCUUCCGAUAUCUAACGCCAAAUUCUUCGCGUGCCGCUGAUGCACGCGUCUCCAAGAUAUAUCGGAAAGUUUCCUGCGAUAUUUAGGAGCAUGCUUUUAGCUUGUCGACUAAUGCUUGAACACCUGAAAAAAAAACCAGUCUAUUUUUCUAAGACAGCCAGCGGGCCAAGGAAAAUUGGCCACGGUGGUUGAGAAGAUACGAUACCAGAGGAAGACGAAGAAAAC